rnacentral:lncRNA from 1 species
AUGUGUGUGUGCAUGUGUGUUUUGCAUUUAAAGAUAGAGUGGGAUGCCUGCAAACACACACACACACACACAUGCACACACACACACACACACACACACACACACACUAAAAUUUGUAAAAUGAACAAUUUGACCUGUUUCCUAUUUGGGGGAGAGUUUCCAGAACUUUCUAAAUCAGCCUUGCCAAUUCCCUUAUUUGCCAGGUAUCUACUAGACAUCUACAUCAUGCCCCUUUUUGCCAGCCCUCUUUUAGGAUGGCACACAUCUUUAAUAAUCUAUUCCACAUGGAUCCUGACUCGAAUAUCUGCUGUUUCCUUUAGCUUUUUAAAUAUGAAGAAGAGAUUGUCUUCAGCAGGUUUGUUGCUUUAUCAGAAUAUCUUUGAGCAUGUCAUAAAAACCGAGUUCAGAGUAAGAAGCGGCUUCCCCAAAUAUUACACAGUUGCAGAGGUAACUGGGCCUAUCGCACAGGUCUCAUUUUCAUCCAGAUUUUUUCUCUUCUAUCACUUCACUUUUAAUGAUGAGAGAUAUUCAGUGAGAUUUCAAGAUUUCAUGUUUAGUUAAAUUAAGAUCAUAAGCAUGAAAACUCACUUGAACUCAAGAAAAUAUUUUGGGCCUGGGGAAGCUAAAUGGUAAUACUUUGAAAUACAAUCUUUGCAUUAAUAACACUAAGCCAACUUCCAGCUAUCUUCACAUUGAUUGGCAGUGCUACCUGAAAAGAAAACGUGGUUUUACUUGUUUUAACCUAAGCAAACUUAUUUAGAUAAAAUCAUACUUUGAGCACUUAUUUAUACAAACAUUUAUUAGAUACUUACUAAGGAUCAAGCAGCAUUCUAAGUGCUAAAAACAAACGAAGACAGACAUACUUUUUCCUGAUUUGAUAGGGUUUAUAAUUUAAUUUAGAGAAGGGGAUAAAAAGAAAAUGAAUGCAAUUAUUUUGUAAUAGUAUGUAUAUAGGACAGAGAAGGCAUUGUCAUGGCUAUGCUAGUUCACAUCCAUCAAGAAGCAGGCACUGAGACAGGGUUAGAUAUAUAAUACAUUUAUUGGCAGAAAUUAUUGUGGGGCAUAAAUGGGGAGUGAGCAGGUGAAUAAGGGAAAGCUUUAAGACUAUAGUGAAAGUCUACUGUGUGAAAGAGAAUGGAAGGGGCAAAGUUUGGAUGGAGAGAGUGUGGUCCUGCAGCACCAUUCCAAGAAAGGUUUAGCUAGCCAACGGGAUGUCCUUGAGCUGAUGUUGCACAUUAGAUGAGUCCUGUGUUUUUUAAGAAUGGGACUGAGCUACAAGCAGUCAUUGGCUGGAAGCAGCUCACGGGAAACAAAAUCCAGCAGCAAAAGCCCCGUGGAUCCUGAGAGUAGCUUCUAGGUCUAUCAGUCAAUUAUAAUCCCAGCAAGAGAACAAAUGGCAUGCUUCCAUUGCAGUGGUCAUGGGAGCGUUAGUUUUUACUUGUGGACCAGAACUUCAGAAGGUGCUGCAGUUUUCAAAGAUGGAUAAGAAGUCACACAUUGGACAAAGUAGGCAAGUGUAUUCUAGGCAUAAACUAAUGUAGACAAAUAUAGGACAACCUGGCAAGUGUGGGGAAAUUACAAGUAGUGCAUUAGGGUUGGAGUAUAUAUCUAAAUGUGUUGGCACAAAGCAUACCAGAGAGGGAAGUGGGAUUCAGAUUGGGAAGAGCAAGGUGAGUUCUGCAAAGUUGUUUGUCUUUAUCCUGGAGAUAAUGGGGGAUCACUGAAGGAAUUCAAGCUUGGCAGAGGCAGUGUGAGAUCUGCACUGUAGAAAGAUCCCUGAGGUAGCCUGUCCAGAUGGAGCAUUCCAAAAAAUAAAGAAAAAGGAGAUACUAGUGAUAAACAAAAGAUAGCAUCAGAUAGACCUGGGUUCUAAUCUUAACUCUAACACUAACGAACGAUAUGAACAGAGCUAAGUAAUUUAACUCUCCAUAACCCCUAUUACUAACUUUGUAUACAAGCAAUUACUCAACUACUUAUUUCAUAGUGACACAGGAUCAUGUGAAAUAAAUAGUAGCAUAUUUAGGAACUCAGGUGUUGAAAGCAGACAUAAACCUACUCUUCUAUCUUGGCCCAAAUGUAUGACUACAGGAAUACUUUUCAUGAACCCCAGUUUUCUUAAAUGCAGGGUAAUGAUGAAAUCACAUUUAUCUCAUGGAGUUGUUCUCUGAGCGGUGAUAUGUGUGAAGACUUAGCUUACUUGCAGUGCAUAAAAAAGUCUAAAUAACUAAAGGGUAGGUACCGUGUUAUGUGAUUUAAACACAUAAUGUUAUGUUCUCACAGCAUCUCUGCAGGCAGGUUAUUUCCCCUCCCGCCUUAGUGUAGAGGAGCAAAUUGAUGCUUGAGUUUAAGUAACUGGCUCAUGAUCACACAAAUGAUUGUACUGUGCUACAAUUCUCAGCGGCUUUACUUCAAAACCCAUAUUUUUAACCACUAUUCUCCAUUACCUUCCAUUCCAGCACAAAGCAAAACCAUCUACCUGCCAAAGCAAAUGCAAUUCUAAGAACUCACUUGCUGGCUAUGGCUGGAUUCCUUGUAUUCCUAUUAUACUUUAAAGCAGAGUAAGGGAUCAUUUAAGCAGAACCUCCUGGUUUGCCCCGAGAGAGGUUUUAUUCAGUUCAUUUAGAAGGAAUAUUACAGCCACCACAGAGAUUCUACUAUAAGCUGUGUUAUAUGCUUUGAAAUUGGUUUCAAUGAAGGAGAAGGGGUAAAAAUGAUGAAGGCAGUUGUCUCCAAGGCUAUUUCCCUGUCGGGAGAGUCUUUGAAAUGUUUGCACACGUUAGUCUCUUCAUUCUUAUGCUUCCAAGUAGGAGUAGCCAUAACACAGAUCAUUAAAACCCAUGAAAAUGUGACCUGAAAGGUCAGAUGUUCAGUGAUUAGGCAGAAGGCCCUGACCCGUUCAGCUCUCCCUCUUCCCCAUUUCCACUUCCAGUAAAAUGACUGACUUGUUUUUAAUCUAGGUUCUGGCAUAUUUCUCAUUAAUCAAACUACUUCACUUCACCAACCUUUAGUUUCCUUAAUCAGAAUAGGACUGUUUUAAGGUUGUCCUAAAUACUGAAGGUAAAUGCUCAUCAUUGCAUCGAACAGCUAUUAGCUACUCCAGAAAUGUUAACUCUCCUUGGAUGAAGAGCAGAAAAUUAUUUCGAAACAAACAAAUUGUCAGAAGACAAUUUCAUCG